UACGGAGGGUGCAAACGUUGCUCGGAAUCAUUGGGCGUAAAGCGCACGUAGGCGGCUCGAUAAGUCGGAUGUGAAAGCCCUGGGCUCAACCCAGGAAGUGCAUUCGAAACUGCCGAGCUUGAAUAUGGAAGAGGGUCGCGGAAUUCCCGGUGUAGAGGUGAAAUUCGUAGAUAUCGGGAGGAACACCAGUGGCGAAGGCGGCGACCUGGGCCAAUAUUGACGCUGAGGUGCGAAAGCGUGGGGAGCAAACAGG
rnacentral:rRNA from 1 species